CCUCCGCCGUAACAAGGUUUCUAGUAAUGAUGUCGAAUCUCUUUAAUUGAGCCUUUAUUUGAGGGCUAUGUUUUAGGACGGCAAUCCAACUAAGCAUCACUUCCCAGUAAAAAUGGAAAAAAUACUGCACAUAAAUAAUGAGCUAAAGUUAUGGAAUGUGUUAAUAAUGUCCAACGAAAGUUUCAAACGACACUUUGUGUAAGACAAAAUGUUAAUCUAUUUUUAAACUAUAUCGAGAAAAUUCUCCAAUAAUUCCAAGAAUUUCGAAAACAUCCCCCCGGGCUAUGCUAGUAGAGCCGUUCGCAUCAUGUUGACUCAUUCGGCGGGUAUCAUCAUAACGCAAUAAAAAUAUGAAAGACAGAAGUGGAAAACAAGAGCAAUGAAGAAAUAAAAUCUGCGUCUGAAGCCCCUCUUGUCACACGGGCAGUGAGUGGAAUGGAGCACGAUAAAAGCGUAAAAAAGGCAAAAUACCCAUCACAUUGAGCAUCCACCUUUUUAGAACGCAGAACCGUGGUUACAGAAAUUAAGAGCAUUCUUCGCGCACCUAAAGAUCUGCGAAUGCGCGUAUCAUACUCCAACCUAAAUAAUAUGAAUGAAGUGGAAAAAAGACACACCGGCAAUAAAAUAUACUGAAAAAUCAACAUCGUAUAUGCAAAUAAUAAAUAAUCGUAAAAUGGGUAACGAAAAUUGUUCUCGUUUUGGGGCCAUUUUCACUCCCGCCUGUGUUCUUCCGCUGCCAUAGAGUAGGACUGCACCAGGAAGACAUAACACUGAUGCUGAUGCCUGAGAUUUGCUCGUUCCAAGGUGAAACAAAUAAUAGAACAAAUAAUUCAACAACAGAAGGAACACGCAUAAAUCAUAAACGAGCUGCGAACAAGCGCGGACGGACGGAACGGUAUGGUGGACGGUGGAGGAGGGAAAAUAUUCUGAGUUGUAAAAGCGUCAUGCUGAUAUUCCCGACAAGACUUUCGGUUGAGUGAUUGGGAUCGGGUAAGUCUUCGCCGAUCGACCCGGUAGGAAACAAAACAAAAACGACGACGACCAAACGCUCCUUGAAAGCUUUCGACUGUUCAGCCGGAGGUGAAGUGGUAAUCCAAUUCCUGCUUGGCAUAAGCUGACCGUCGUGUCGUCCAAGCCCUCCACGAGGAAGUUUUUCUGCCGUCCUAGAUUGUCUACGCCUAAUUAGAUUGGUGAGAUUUUAUGUUAAUUAAUUUUUAUGUUAACCAUUUUAGUGACUUAUUUUUGCGCCAGUGCCACUAUAAACCCAUUUUGAUCACCUUGUCAAGGCUGCCCGAAUAGUUACCAUGAAGAUGCAGUGCAGAGAAGCAGAGAAGUGGAAGCUUUUCAGGUUAAUCUCUCGCAAUCAUGCUGAAUGUUUUCGAUUGAGAUGUUUUUUAUUUCGUUUCGCGUGUCCCCGGGAAAAAGACCAAGAAAUUGUAUAUCCAUAAGAGGAGAUUAGUGACGGAUGUCAGUCAAUGGAGAAGAAACGGUCAAUCCGGAGCCGCCGGAGUCAACACCCGCAACGGCAGCUUAGCCGAGUUAUUUAGAUAUCGAGUUUUCGAAGCAUAAUUUAACAACGAUUUGAGCGCUCGCCGAGUCUCGCUUUCGCGUUGGCACGUGGUUGUCGUUGUCUUGUACCUGCACGGUAUUGCAAGCGGAUUUUGGAUGAUGCAAUUAGGAAAGUGACAGCACUUAAGCUGAUAUUAGCUCGAUUCCGACGUCGGAGUGGCAAAAAUGGAUGUCGCUGGGUUUCGGCUUAACAUGUUCGAAACGAGGAAAAAAUGUAUCUUGUCUUAGAAGUUUGAACUUCACAUGUUGUAGUUCAAUGGCAUGAGAAUUUUGACAUUUUUUUGUUCUCUGUCAUUAAACUUCGUUCAUACAUUUCAAAUUGACUCAGAACAACGAAUAAGUUAGGAAUAAGUUAGGAUAAAGUGACAUCGAAUAAACGUAAGUUGAAUAAAUUGACAAUAUUAAGUCGUCUUAACUUUGUUAAUUCACAUAAAUAACAUAUAGAACUCGACUAUAUUCACAAAUGCACUGCAAAAUAAAUUUUUGCAAUUCUAUUUCAAUGUCUAACAGCUUACAAUCCUGUGAUCAUCCGAAAUGUGUACUGAGCAA